UACGUAGGGGGCGAGCGUUAUCCGGAUUUAUUGGGCGUAAAGGGUGCGUAGGCGGCCUUACAAGUCUGAGUUGAAAGCCCACGGCUUAACCGUGGAGGGUGCUCGGAAACUGUAAGGCUUGAAUCCAGAAGAGGCAAGUAGAAUUCUAUGUGGAGCGGUGGAAUGCGUAGAUAUAUGGAGGAAUACCAGUGGCGAAGGCGGCUUGCGGGUCUGGGAUUGACGCUGAGGCACGAAAGCGUGGGGAGCAAACAGG
rnacentral:rRNA from 1 species